rnacentral:rRNA from 1 species
UACGUAGGGAGCAAGCGUUGUUCGGAUUUACUGGGCGUAAAGGGCGCGUAGGCGGCAAUUCAAGUCAGCUGUGAAAUCUCCGGGCUUAACUCGGAACGGUCAGCUGAUACUGCGUGGCUAGAGUGCUGGAGGGGAGACUGGAAUUUACGGUGUAGCAGUGAAAUGCGUAGAUAUCGUAAGGAAGACCAGUGGCGAAGGCGAGUCUCUGGACAGCAACUGACGCUGAGGCACGAAGGCCAGGGGAGCAAACGGG